rnacentral:rRNA from 1 species
CAUACGCGAGCUAUACAUGCAAGUCGAGCGCAGGAAGCAAGCAGAUCCCCUUCGGGGGUGACGCUUGUGGAAUGAGCGGCGGACGGGUGAGUAACACGUGGGCAACCUGCCUGUAAGACUGGGAUAACCCCGGGAAACCGGGGCUAAUACCGGAUAAUACUUUUCUUUGCAUAAAGGAAAGUUGAAAGGCGGUUUCGGCUGCCACUUACAGAUGGGCCCGCGGCGCAUUAGCUAGUUGGUGAGGUAACGGCUCACCAAGGCGACGAUGCGUAGCCGACCUGAGAGGGUGAUCGGCCACACUGGGACUGAGACACGGCCCAGACUCCUACGGGAGGCAGCAGUAGGGAAUCUUCCGCAAUGGACGAAAGUCUGACGGAGCAACGCCGCGUGAGUGAUGAAGGUUUUCGGAUCGUAAAACUCUGUUGUUAGGGAAGAACAAGUCGGGUAGUAACUGACCCGGCCUUGACGGUACCUAACCAGAAAGCCCCGGCUAACUACGUGCCAGCAGCCGCGGUAAUACGUAGGGGGCAAGCGUUGUCCGGAAUUAUUGGGCGUAAAGCGCUCGCAGGCGGUCCUUUAAGUCUGAUGUGAAAUCUCGCG